rnacentral:rRNA from 1 species
AAAAGCUCGUAGUUGGAUCUCAGAUCCGGCCGGACGGUCCGCCUACCGGUGGUUACUGUUCGUUGCCGAUCGUUCAGGCGGUUAUUCUUGAUGAUCUUCACCGGUUGUCUCGGGUGACCGCCAAGUUUACUUUGAAAAAAUUAGAGUGCUCAAAGCAGGCGUGACGCCUGAAUAAUUGUGCAUGGAAUAAUGGAAUAGGACCUCGGUUCUAUUUUGUUGGUUUUCGGAACACGAGGUAAUGAUUAAGAGGGACAGACGGGGGCAUUCGUAUUGCGACGCUAGAGGUGAAAUUCUUGGACCGUCGCAAGACGAACUACUGCGAAAGCAUUUGCCAAGAAUGUUUCCAUUAAUCAAGAACGAAAGUUAGAGGUUCGAAGGCGAUCAGAUACCGCCCUAGUUCUAACCAUAAACGAUGCCAGCCAGCGAUCCGGCUGUGUUCCUCAAAUGACACGCCGGGCAGCUUCCGGGAAACCAAAGCUUUUGGGUUCCGGGGGAAGUAUGGUUGCAAAGCUGAAACUUAAAGGAAUUGACGGAAGGGCACCACCAGAAAUGGAGCCUGCGGCUUAAUUUGACUCAACACGGGAAAACUUACCCGGCCCGGACACAGGAAGGAUUGACAGAUUAAGAGCUCUUUCUUGAUUCUGUGGGUGGUGGUGCAUGGCCGUUCUUAGUUGGUGGGGCGACUUGUCUGGUUAAUUCCGAUAACGAACGAGACUCUAGCCUACUAAAUAGACGUUCCCUUCAUCUCAGAGGGACGUUCUUCUUAGAGGGACAAGCGGCGUUUAGCCGCACGAGACAGAGCAAUAACAGGUCUGGGAUGCCCUUAGAUGUCCGGGGCCGCACGCGCGCUACAUUGAAGGAAUCAGCGUGUGCUUUCCCUGUCCGAGAGGACUGGGUAACCCGUUGAACCUCCUUCGUGCUGGGGAUUGGAAACUGUAAUUGAUUCCAUGAACGAGGAAUUCCCAGUAAGCACGAGUCAUCAGCUCGUGUUGAUUACGUCCCUGCCCUUUGUCCACACCGCCCGUCGCUACUACCGAUUGAAUGAUUUAGUGAGGUCUUCGGACUGGCGCUCGGAUUGGCCUUCGUGGUCGAGCCGGUGUGCCGGAAAGAUGACCAAACUUGAUCAUUUAGAGGAAGUAAAAGUCGUAACAAGGUUUU